GGCUUUUGUCCUGUUUUCCACAGUUAUGGGUUUUUGCGUACUUCCCGAUGCUAGCCCCAGAGCUCGAGGUGGAGGCGCCCCUCAUGACCCCCUACUCGCUCGUUUUCGAGGGCCAGUACCGACUGCGGGCCGGGGAGACUCUCCCCUACCUACGGUAGUUUUUUGACAUAGUACGGCCGACAGAGAUCACCUGGCAGCCCUAGGUGCCUUUAGGCGGGGAUCUCCGAUUUCAGCUUACCGGAGGAUGGGCUGCCUCUCGGUAUAGGAUCCUGUUUGAGGGGCCGGUUGGUAGGGCCUGGUUCCUGGGGGAACGCUUCAUGCGCCAGACGAUGGGCUACCCUAAUCAGGACGUCCCCUCAGUACCUUCGGUCGACAUGCGGACUAUCGGGAGGCUCACUCCCCAGGAGGUUACUAGUGCCGUGCUGGGUACUGAUGUGUUGCUACAUUUGGAGGAGGGGGAGUACGUGACCUACCGUCACACAUACUUGAUGCCCCCAUUGACAGGCGUUCAUACCCCUACGAGGAGGUCCGCUGACAUACCAUCUUCGAGUCGAGCUCGGGCUGCAGGUGCUCCUUCCACUAGCAGAGCUGGUACAUCGUGAGGUGGGGCUGGGCUGGUCCCCCCGAUUUCUCCGACUUAUCAUCACCCUGGAUAGCCAGAUAUCCCUACUGAGUUGACGGGAUGGCGAUACGGGACUUCCUACCCGAUUCCGAUAGAGCCUCCUAUGCCUGAUCACCGAUACGUCAGUGACCCUGACUCACCACCGCCACCCAGAGAGUAUAUGGACGGGAUGCUCGGAUUGGUGGCCUCGCUCGAGGGCAUGGUUUUACAGAGAAAGGCACAAUUGUCCAUCCUUGGUUUUCAGAUGCCUCCGCUACAUACCGAAUCACAGGCCGGGCCAUCUGGGCCUUCCUAAGGAGCUGGGAGAGGGGAGUCGUCUCGCAGACGAGCCGGACGCAGAGUGCAUGUCAUAGAGGAGGGGUCCAGCAAGGAGGAGGAGCCUGCGCAUCCCCAGUCAGAGACAUCUGCUGACAGAGAGGGUGGUUCCGAUUCCGGUUCCGGCAGUGGAGAUGAGGCCGAGGAGGAUCCCAAGGAUGACAGCUCUGACUCAGACGACGAUGAUGGUGCUGAGGCUGUUCCACAGAAGAGGACAAAGAGAGCCGCUUACUCCCGUGCUUGAUAGCAUUGAUGCAGCUGUUUCCUACUUUAUUUGCCUUUUUUACUAGUAGUUGUAGCACAUUGUACAUUUAUUAGGUAGUUUUAUUUUCUAUAAAACUUGU